rnacentral:rRNA from 1 species
GGUAGGGGUAAUAGCAUAUUGAAUGCAACAAUUUCCGAUGGAUCACUGAAGUUAAGUAACGUUGCGCAUGUUUGGUAUGCAAAUGGGUGACUAUCUGGACAAUCGCGUGCUGCUGGCU